rnacentral:misc_RNA from 1 species
AAAGUCGUAACAAGGUUUCCGUAGGUGAACCUGCGGAAGGAUCAUUAAUGAAUUUAGGGAAUUGAUGCUGGCCUUUGUGCAUGUGCUCGUUCCCUCUAAUCCAUACACACCUGUGCACUUGUUUAUCGGAGUCGCUAGUAAAAUAGAGACUCUGGUUAAUCACAUACUCUUAUAAUUUACUUUGAAUGUUUAUCAAGUCGAAAGACUUUUAAAUUAAUACAACUUUUAACAACGGAUCUCUUGGCUCUC